UACAGAGGUCUCAAGCGUUGUUCGGAUUCAUUGGGCGUAAAGGGGUGCGUAGGCGGCGCGGUAAGUCGGGUGUGAAAUCUUGGAGCUUAACUCCGAAACUGCAUUCGAUACUGCCGUGCUUGAGGACUGGAGAGGAGACUGGAAUUUACGGUGUAGCGGUGAAAUGCGUAGAUAUCGUAAGGAAGACCAGUGGCGAAGGCGGGUCUCUGGACAGUUCCUGACGCUGAAGCACGAAGGCCAGGGGGAGCAAAACGGGG
rnacentral:rRNA from 1 species